CAAUUGCAGACAAACUUCAUCCGGACUCCUACGGAAGCCGGACUCCAUCUCUAAUUUCAACUGCAGACAAGCUUCAUCCGGACUCCUACGGGAGCUGGAACCUCAUCCCCGACUUCGACCGUGGGUAAGCUCCGUCCGGACUCCUACGGGAGCCAGAUUUUGCCUCUGACUUCAAUUGCAAGUAGACUCCGUCUGGACUCCCAAGGGAGCCAGACUUCGCCCCGACAUCACCUACGGGAGCCAGACUCCCAUAGCCCCAC
rnacentral:lncRNA from 1 species